AAAUUGAAGAGUUUGAUCAUGGCUCAGAUUGAACGCUGGCGGCAGGCCUAACACAUGCAAGUCGAACGGUAACAGGAAGCAGCUUGCUGCUUCGCUGACGAGUGGCGGACGGGUGAGUAAUGUCUGGGAAACUGCCUGAUGGAGGGGGAUAACUACUGGAAACGGUG
rnacentral:rRNA from 8 species